rnacentral:hammerhead_ribozyme from 1 species
AUCCAUCUGACGAGUCCCAAAUAGGACGAAACGCGCGUCCCGAGU